UAGUCCACGCCGUAAACGAUGGAUACUAGUUGUUGGGAUUUAUCUCAGUGACUAAGGGAAAGUGAUAAGUAUCCCACCUGGGGAGUACGUUCGCAAGAAUGAAACUCAAAGGAAUUGACGGGGCCCGCACAAGCGGUGGAGCAUGUGGUUUAAUUCGAUGAUACGCGAGGAACCUUACCAGGGCUUAAAUGUAAGUUGCAUGAUCUAGAGAUAGGUCUUUCUUCGGACUACUUACAAGGUGCUGCAUGGUUGUCGUCAGCUCGUGCCGUGAGGUGUCAGGUUAAGUCCUAUAACGAGCGCAACCCCUAUCGUUAGUUGCUAACAGGUUAAGCUGAGGACUCUAGCGAGACUGCCGGUGCAAACCGUGAGGAAGGUGGGGAUGACGUCAAGUCCUCAUGGGCCUUUAUGUCCAGGGGCUACACACGUGCUACAAUGGGGCGGAACAAAGGGGUAGCAAUGCCGCGAGGUGGAGGCUAAUCUCAAAAAGCCGUCCCAAGUUCGGGAUUGGGAGUCUGC
rnacentral:rRNA from 1 species